CUUCCUACACCCAAAUGUAUUUAUUUAUUUUAAACAGGGAAAAAAAUCUUGCCUUAUUUACAGUGGAGCAAGUUGAAGAUUCUUAAUGAAUGCAAAAUCAGAUGAAAUGUUAAUCAAGCGGGGGAACAAAUAAAAAUGAGGCACAGAUGUGUCCUUUUCCAUCUCUUCUUCUCUUCCGCUCUUGAAGCAUUGUUAUUUAAAACACCUAUCCAAUUUGGCUCAGGGGCCUAGUACACUGUGGUGUCAUAGCCCAUUGAAAUCUGAGAAGGACAGUCUGACCCCAGCCAGCAAGCUAAUUAGAACUGCUGCAGCAGCAGAAGCAAGGAGCUGAGCUGAAAUAACAGGCAAGAUGAUGUCACAGCAUUCUUUCAUGCUGAGGAUACCCCUCCGGGCAAAGGAACCCCAGUUAUUAGGAACAACUGGGUAAUAGUAAUGCGGGAUUGAUUAUUACAAGUAUAGAUAGUUGGGUUUGUGAUGACUGGGAGAACCGUAUGGUGAAUUUACAGCUGGGUGUGAAGACUUCACUUCUUGAGAGAGAGUGGGAGAAUGACAUGCUGCACUUAACCAAAAAAAAAAAGAAGAAAGAAAGAAAGACUUUUCUAUCUGAAAUUCAACCGCUUUAAAAAAGCUUUAGAAAUUGGGGUACUGUAUACAGAAAUGGUACUCCACCCUGAGUGGCAAUAUUAUUUUGCUGUUACCUCUGUUAAACUGAACUGUAAUCUUUAAAUAAUAUAUGUACAUUGGAAAGUGA